CAGCAAGUAGUAUCCACACAGAUGAAUGUUACAUUCAAAUUCAUAUUUAACUAUACAUUUACCAGCUGGUUAGUAUUUCUACUAGUUAAUAUUUCUUAUGUUCAUAUUUACUUAGUAAAUUCGAUUUUUUUUAUGAAAUCAUUGAUAUAAUAUAACAAUAUAACUAUUAUAUAACUAUCUAUACCAUAUCGAUAUCAAUAAAUAAAUUCAAGUUUUAUCUUCCUUUUAUUUUUCAGAUUCACAAAAGUAUUAUCCCUGUUAAACUUAUGGAUGUCAAUGGGAGAAUACAUGUUUGUCACAUCACCACUGGGGGGUGCUGUGUGCAUUAAAAUAUUUUAGAAAGGACGAAUUUAAUGCCGCAAGCACAAACCUUACUAUCAAAUAUUGAAUAUUUAAACUCUACCAAAACGGCUUUAUUUAGUUUAUCUUUAAUGAUCCUCAUAGUAACAUAAUAAACAUGAUCACAGUCACAUUUGCUGAUGAAACUGAAUCAGUAGAGGGAGAUCAUUAUUGAACAAGAGGUAAUAUUUUUAAGUUUCAUUCACUGAAGGCACAAUCAUCUCAGCUUUUAAUAAGUGAAAACAAAGAAGGUGGUCUAAAUAAGCCACACCCACAGUGUAACUUCACAACAAGAUACUACAAUCAUUACAAUUCAGUUUAUAAAGCCUCGAGCAUGAAGUUAGUAAAUCUUGGAGAGAUGGAGAGAUGCUUUCUUCUGAUUCUAAUAUCCACUACAGGUAUCUUAUCUGACAGCAUUCAACCGAAAGACAAGGAAACUAAUAUUUACGCAACUGAAGAAGAGCGUGUAACACUGAGCUGCACUUAUGACACAGGCAGCAAUUAUGUCUAUCUCUACUGGUACAGACAGUAUCCUAAUGGGAAACCAGAAUAUAUACUGUUUAAAGGUGCCCGGACUUGGAGCAGUGACGAAAAUAUACCAGACACUCGGUUUCAGUCCAUUACAUCCCAAACAUCCACUGAACUCAUUAUUAAGAGUGUAACUCUGUCAGAUUCAGCUCUUUAUUACUGUGCUCUAAGAGUAACAG